UCUCAUCUAUCAUAUCAUCCAAAAUUCUCUGUUCUCUACAAUCUCACAAAGAACUAAAUCAUAUUCUAGAUUAUUAAUGAGAAUUUGGCAUGCAAUUAGGGAGGAUGGCUCUGUUCUUCUCCGCUACACUCUUGAUGAUGGAUGAUGUCGAUGGUGAUGAAAUCAAGUUCUCGGAUUGGGAGGUUUUGGAAAUAAUAAAAAGAUUUAUGGGACGAACAGAUCUAGUUCGAUAAUGUAGCAGAGCCGGUGUAUGCCCAACCGGAGUGUCUUUCCGAUGGAGUGGAAGAACAAACUGAAGCGUAGUGGUUUUCUUCUGUAGUAGUUGUGGAAUAUUAGAACUCUUUUAUAGUAUUUCUUUAGUUUGAUGAUGUAUUUAGUUAUUUUAUCAGUAUUUCCUUUUGUUAUGGACUGCAUUUUUAUUC